CUUCCUGUGUGGAACUUGGGAUUCGAACGGCAGGCGGGAAGUGCUCUAGCAGGGGAGUCUGACCUUGUGAGGGAAUACCUGUGUCCCCCCUUUUUUCCCCUUUUUACCCAAUAAAACCCUGCCUUACUCACCCUUUAAAUCAUCUGCGAGCCUGAAUUUUCAUGGCCGUGGGACGGACAAGAACUUUAUCUUCAGCUGAACUAAGAAAAAGUCCUGCAACAUUUUUGGCGCGCAAUGUGGGGGCACCAGAAGCGGGCACCGUUGAGCUGUUGCAACUGUUCUGCUGAGGAAUGAUCACCUGAGAACAUAGCGAGUAUGUGACCAAUUGCAAGAAAAGGAGAGGCCUCAGAAGAAAUCAACCCUACAGACACUUUAAUCUUGGACUUCUGUCUUUCAGAACUAUGAAACAUAGAUCUCAGGACUCUCACCUAUUGGAGACACAAUAACAGUACUCCAGGAAGCUCAGUAAACCACCUUAAAGGCAGCAAUCCUCAGCAGGCCCACGGUAGCUGUUUAGCUAAGAGAGGAUGAGAGACACUGGGCCUCACUACACAUCAUUUCCAGGAAGUCGGGACUCCAAAAAUGAGACAACUAUGAUGAUACAUCCCCUUAAAGGUUCUUCAUUGUACUAUGGAUUUUUUAAAAUUGUAAGUCAAGUUCCAAGUUCUGUGAAUCUACUGAUUUUAAGUCUGUGACUCAAACUGUGCCACAAGGAGUGCGUCUUUUCUGUUUCCCUAGGCUGCUAACAAUCUAAAUUCCUCACAUCAUAUCUCCCUAUCAUCUCUAAAUUGUACACCUGCCUGGCCAAUGUCUUUACUUUCCUAGAAUACGAAAGGUAUUUGUUUAAGCUUUAUGAAAGGGAAGAAGAAAGGAAAGAAAGAAGGAAGGAAGGAAAAAGGAAGAAAUGAGAAAGAGAGAGAAAGAAAGAAAGCAAGAAAGAAAGAGAA
ensembl:lncRNA MIR924HG MIR924 host gene